rnacentral:lncRNA from 1 species
CGGGAUACAGCCCCACCUCGCCUGGUUAUAGCCCAACCUCACCGGGCUAUAGCCCUACAUCUCCGGGUUACAGUCCCACCUCUCCAACUUACAGCCCAAGUUCACCCGGUUAUAGCCCAACAAGUCCUACCUACUCACCCACUUCACCUAGCUACUCCCCUACCUCACCAAGCUACUCACCCACAUCACCUAGCUACAGCCCUACAUCGCCAGCUUACAGCCCGACCUCUCCGGCUUACAGCCCGACCUCUCCUUCCUACAGCCCGACAUCACCAUCCUACAGCCCAACCUCACCCUCCUACAGCCCAACCUCACCCUCUUACAGCCCGACCUCUCCUUCCUACAGCCCAACAUCACCAUCCUACAGCCCGACCUCCCCUUCCUACAGCCCAACCUCCCCUGCUUACAGCCCAACUUCACCUGGGUACAGUCCUACUUCCCCAAGCUACAGUCCUACUUCUCCAAGUUACAGUCCCACCUCACCAAGUUACAACCCUUCAUCCGCUAAGUACAGCCCCUCGUUGGCUUAUUCUCCUAGUAGUCCAUACAGCCCUACAUCCCCCAACUAC